UAAUAGAAUCGAUUAUCGCUGUAGACAGCAGGUGUAUUUAUGCAUAAGGAUCAUUUUAUUGAUCGCCUGCCGAGGUAUGAUAGUUUAAAGAGAAAGCAAAGCUCUCUUUCUGCAUGCCUGCAGCGAGAGAGCUUUUUAUUAUGAUGA
rfam:Mahella australiensis 50-1 BON, complete genome.